AGAGGAAUCACCUAGUGGAUCUUGUUAGAAUGCAGAUUCUGAUUUACUAAGUCUGGGGUGGAACCCAAGAAUUUGCAUUUCUAACAGGUCUCAGGUGAUGCUAAC
rnacentral:pre_miRNA from 1 species